GGUCAAGCUAGAAAGGGCUCAUGGUGGAGACCUAGGCACACAGAG
rnacentral:rRNA from 1 species